UCCUUGUGGGUAAGAAAAUGGCAUAAGGAAGUAGUACUUUGGAUACAGUCUUUGAGGGCAUGGGUACAAUGAUGUUAAAGGAAGAAAACUGACAUUUAUUCUAUAGAUGGGGGAACUGAGGCUUGGGGAAGUUAAGUGAUUUGCCAAAAGACACACAGCUAGUAAGCAAAGGAAACUGGUUUAGAAUCUAGAUCUGGUUUCAAAGUUUGUGUUCUUAAACAGUAUGUGAAAACUCAACCACAUCUGCAUACACUACC
rnacentral:lncRNA from 10 species